ACGUCAAGUCCUCAUGGCCCUUAUGCCCAGGGCUACACACGUGCUACAAUGGGCGGUACAAAGGGUAGCGAUGCCGCGAGGUGAAAGCCAAUCCCAAAAGCCGUCCACAGUUCGGAUUGGAGUCUGCAACUCGACUCCAUGAAGCCGGAAUCGCUAGUAAUCGUGGAUCAGCAUGCCACGGUGAAUACGUUCCCGGGCCUU
rnacentral:rRNA from 1 species